UAUUCUGCCCUACAGGGAAGGAUGAGAAGCUUCGACUAAGGUUCGACUCGAGCGAAGCGAGAGAACGUUACCGCAGGCAACGGCCCGAAGGGCGAGGCGCUUUAGCGCCGAGUAAUCCUUCCCCCACCACCA
rnacentral:sRNA from 1 species